AUUGAACGCUGGCGGCAGGCUUAACACAUGCAAGUCGAGCGGGGUGAUGGUGCUUGCACUAUCACUUAGCGGCGGACGGGUGAGUAAUGCUUAGGAAUCUGCCUAUUAGUGGGGGACAACUUCGCGAAAGGGAUGCUAAUACCGCAUACGUCCUACGGGAUAAAGCAGGGGAUCACUUGUGACCUUGCGCUAAUAGAUGAGCCCAAGUCGGAUGAGCUAGUUGGUGGGGUAAAGGCCUACCAAGGCGACGAUCUGUAGCGGGUAUGAGAGGAUGAUCCGCCACACUGGGACUGGGACACGGCACAGACUCCUACGGGAGGCAGCAGUGGGGAAUAUUGGACAAUGGGGGGGAACCCUGAUCCAGCCAUGCCGCGUGUGUGAAGAAGGCCUUAUGGUUGUAAAGCACUUUAAGCGAGGAGGAGGCUCUUUUGGUUAAUACCCAAGAUGAGUGGACGUUACUCGCAGAAUAAGCACCGGCUAACUCUGUGCCAGCCGCCGCGGUAA
rnacentral:rRNA from 1 species